rnacentral:rRNA from 1 species
GUCAACCGAGGGGCGGAUGCGCCGUUAAUACGUGGGGGGAAAGCGUGGACCGUAAGUAGUGGGCGUAAAGCGCGCGCAGGCGGUCCUUUAAGGUGGAUGUGAAAGCCCACGGCUCAGCCGUGGAGGGUCAUUGGAAACUGGGGGACUUGAGUGCAGAAGAGGAAAGCGGAAUUCCACGUGUAGCGGUGAAAUGCGUAGAGAUGUGGAGGAACACCAGUGGCGAAGGCGGCUUUCUGGUCUGUAACUGACGCUGAGGCGCGAAAGCGUGGGGAGCAAACAGGAUUAGAUACCCCAGUAGUC